UGAGACAAGGAGGCAGUCCCGACAGAAGAAUCGGAGGAAAAGACAACUGACAGAAGAACUGCGGCGGAGGCACAGAACAUUCCGGAAGACACAUUACCUGGCUGAAGGCAAACCAAGGAAACCAAUGAAUUACAGAUCAGUCGGCCAAACAUCUAUGGUGGGGAAAUUGUUGGAAUCUACAAUCAAGGAUGGGAUAUUUGUUAACCAAGCAAGAACCAGCAUGGAUUCAUGACAGGAUGAACCAUGAAUGGAUGUCUGUGUUGAGAGCCUGCUACAGCAUAUUGCAGAUGACCUUUGACAGUAGCUCUUGUAUUUCUCUUAUCUUUUCACCCACUUGGUGGAAUCCUCCUGCACAAUUUAUUAUCAAAGUGCUGUAAAAAUCUCACAAAUAUUUUCAGGAAGAUUCUAAAUAAUACAUCC